AUUGAACGCUGGCGGCAGGCCUAACACAUGCAAGUCGAGCGGAUGAAGGGAGCUUGCUCCUGGAUUCAGCGGCGGACGGGUGAGUAAUGCCUAGGAAUCUGCCUGGUAGUGGGGGAUAACGUCCGGAAACGGGCGCUAAUACCGCAUACGUCCUGAGGGAGAAAGUGGGGGAUCUUCGGACCUCACGCUAUCAGAUGAGCCUAGGUCGGAUUAGCUAGUUGGUGGGGUAAAGGCCUACCAAGGCGACGAUCCGUAACUGGUCUGAGAGGAUGAUCAGUCACACUGGAACAGAGACACGGUCCUGACUCCUACGGGAGGCAGCAGUGGGGAAUAUUGGAGAAUGGGCGAAAGCCUAAUCCAGCCAUGACGCGUGUGUGAAGAAGGUCUUCGGAUUGUAGAGCACUUUAAGUGGGGAGGAAGGGCAGUAAGUUAAUACCUUGCUGUUUUGACGUUACCAACAGAAUAAGCACCAGCUAACUGCGUG
rnacentral:rRNA from 1 species